AAUAUUUGUGUACAUCAAAGAAGGAAUGUACUGAUAUCUCUAAGACGUGUUUCCGAACUUGGGCAGAACAGUAUGGCAUAUGUGUAUGUAAACCUGAAUAUAUAGAAUUUGGAACCGAAUGUUUGAAAGGAAAUUUGAAACUGGGAGACCAAUGCAAGCAAAAUGAGCAGUGUUCCGUGACAUCUGGUUCCGUUUGUAAGAACGAUACAUGUGUCUGUAGGCCAGGAUAUGUCCAAUUUAGUGAUUCAGAGUGCUUUUCAUCAAGCCUCACAAAAGAUUUGUGUACAUCGACUGAAGAGUGUCAAGAUGUAUCUAAGACAUGUUCAUUGACAGGAAAAGUCGGUGUAUGUGUAUGCAAACAUGGGUAUAUAGGAUUCGGAAAC